rnacentral:rRNA from 1 species
AUUGAACGCUGGCGGCAUGCUUUACACAUGCAAGUCGAACGGCAGCGCGGGCUUCGGCCUGGCUGCGAGUGGCGAACGGGUGAGUAAUGCAUCGGAACGUGCCCAGUAGUGUGGGAUAGCCCGGCGAAAGCCGGAUUAAUACCGCAUACGACCUGAGGGUGAAAGCGGGGGACCGAAAGGCCUCGCGCUAUUGGAGCGGCCGAUGUCGGAUUAGCUAGUUGGUGGGGUAAAGGCUUACCAAGGCGACGAUCCGUAGCUGGUCUGAGAGGACGACCAGCCACACUGGGACUGAGACACGGCCCAGACUCCUACGGGAGGCAGCAGUGGGGAAUUUUGGACAAUGGGGGCAACCCUGAUCCAGCCAUGCCGCGUGCGGGAAGAAGGCCUUCGGGUUGUAAACCGCUUUUGUUCGGGAAGAAAUCCUCUGGGCUAAUACCCCGGGGGGAUGACGGUACCGGAAGAAUAAGCACCGGCUAACUACGUG